rnacentral:misc_RNA from 1 species
GUAGGUGAACCUGCGGAGGGAUCAUUAACACGUAUCCAAAACACGUUCAAACCCAAACCGGUCUCAUAUGAUUCCCAUAGAGGGAGGUGACUCGUAAGCCAUAGAUGGAUUCCUUUCCUUUACGGGAUGGGUCUGCUUGCAGUCUAUUCGGUCCUCGAGACCAGCCGAUUCUCUAUGGCGUACCAAAGCCAUCUGGUUACUAGUGCCACCCCGAUUCCGACUCGGAGCCUAGUAGCCUUAUUAAACCCCC